UCUGGAGGGAACCCCCCAGCAGUCGAGAGGACAUCUCCAUGGGGCAAGGCUAGUCUGAACUGUGAGCUUCUGGGGAUUUAGCAGAAAGAGAAGUUUCAAAGUAAACCUCUAGAAUCCAGUCCUCAGGAGGCUAUAAAGGCCUCCUGUUUCAAAAUAGAAUCAGAGACACUGAAAUUAAGAAGAGACUGCCAGUAUCUAGAGUGGGGGUCGUAGGGGAUAAUGAAGGGUAAAUGGGGAAUGGUUUUUAGCAACAUGCAUAAGGUACACAAGGACUAAACCAAAGGGGGCUAGGAUGAAAGGUGGGAAAUGGGGAUGGCCAGAAUGUCGGGGGAUAGUGGAAGGAAAAUUGAGACAACUGUACUUGAAAAACAAUUUUAAAAAGUGAAAAAAUGUUCCCGCUUCAGUAUGGAGAGCAGAGGAGGUGGCCUUGAGUACACUUCCCAGCACAGGGAAAGGGGAAUCUCCACACUUGCAGACAGACAUCAGCCAGAUGGCAGAGCAGACAUGAAAUGGCUGCCACAGGGAAGUCGAAGCCAUCAAGGGCCCUGAGCAGCUUCUUGGGGCGGCAAGUCUCAAGGAACAGGUCAGGAAAGGGGGAACACGAAGCUCUGCAUUUAGGAACUGCCCCCCACUCUCCUCCACAGAAGUGUAAGGACAGACCUUGGCCAUGGAAUGGUGUGGACUUGACAAGCCCCACUGCCAUCCUAAAGGGACCUUUCAGACCCACAGUUUCAACACUGUGGGACUCCACUGAGGCCACUUUUUGCCUGAGGAAAGAACAGUGUGGUCAACAGUAUCAAGCCCUGUGGUUAUUCCUAUCCUUGGAAUUCCCCGCUCGGAUUUUCUAUAAUACUUUCCCUCUCUCCACCUUCCUCCUUACUUUAUCCCUACAUCCUGACUCAUCCUCUCCAGGUUCUUGUGGGGUCUCCACAGUCAAGAACCUUCUACCACUUGAUCUCACAUCCACUGCAUGUGUCUGGAUUGUUCUGGCUGCACAUACUUCAAACUCUUUUUUGUCCCUCAACACCCACAUCUUCACUCUCUGCAUCUUCUAGCUUAAUCUGGUUUCCCCAGCCCAGGACUUUUAGGCUUGGACACCCUACCCCAAACCACAAGCCCCAAAAUACAUGCUAUACUCUCCACUUUUCCUAGAUUUUGACCCACUGUUGCCAACCCUCUUCCUAUUUUUAUGUUAAUCUUGGUUCUGAACAAUCCAAGGUCUUUUCACCAUCCAGCCCUACCCUGACCCCUCACCUUGCACAGGCAUUUUCUUCAGCCUUCCUACAGGAUCUCCAUAAGUUCUUCUUAUAAAUGUAAACAUCUGCUUUCAUGAAAAAUUGGCUGCAGUGUGACUGGAAUUUGGAGGUCAACAUUGCCUUUCUGACCCAGGAAGAGAAGGACUGCAAUCACCAGACCCAGACCCAACUUCCAGCAACUGUGCAGUCUCAGUCAUUGAAGAACUGAAACUGCGAAGCCUGCCCCAGCUCCAAAAACUGUCUUUGACGUGUCUUUCUGUCACCUCCACCAGCUUGUCAUCAGCCAUUUCCCCCCAUGGCAGUUCAGGAAACCUCUUUUGGCACCAAACAAUAACGCUUCACCCACAUCCUGCUUUUAAAGUUUGCUUCUGCUUUUGUUAUUUUUUAACCUUCCUGAGGACAUUUUGGCCCUGCAUUUUAGACAGAGAGGAAGGCAGAAAGGAAAGAAAAGAAAGAAACAUUGAUGUGAAAGAGUAACACUGAUGGGUUGCCUUCCAUAUGCACCUGGAUCAAGAAUCACGAGCACGGGAACAGGCUAUCCAACCAACAACCUUUCAGUAUGAGGACAAGGCUCCUACCAACUGAUCCAGGGAAACUUACUUCCUUUUUUGGAAUUGGCUCUGACACUCAGCUCAAUCUUUCUGUCUCCCCAGAGACCUCAUGUCAUUCUCCAUUCUUUGCUCAGCCUAUAAAUUUCAAGCCUUAGUGGGAUCUGAAUUCCCCUCUUCACCUUGUCCUUGCUGCUCUAUCCCAUUUGGCCUGUCCAUCAGGACCACCAGCCUGAGUUCUGAGCUUCUUUCUCUACCCCUAGAAGCAGCGGUUUUUAACACAUGUUCCAAGGCACACUGCAAUGCCACAAUGGUCUUGGAGUCAAUUACAAGGCCAAAUAUGCUUUUCCAAUUUUGACCAGGCUACAUGUGUGAGAAGAUCUCUAACAUUCCCAGGUAAUUUGGACAUCCACUCAUCUGGAGAUAAACUUGGGUUCUCAUGAAGAUAGCAUUUGGAUGAGAGAAAGCAUUCCACUGCAACUCUUUGCAGAGUAUCCAAAAACUUCAACGUGAACUGAUGAGUCACUGAAUUCUUUUUCAUGUUUUGAGUCAAGGGGAAACAGAAGAAGAAAUGAAAUAAAGAAAACCAUGGAGGUAGGAGCUCCAAAAUCAUUAAGCAGCCUGUUCAAGAAAGAGUGAAGACAGUUGCCCCAUCAACCACUUUGACUUCAUAUUUUAUGAAUUGGAUGGAAUGUUGCAGUGAGGCAAGUGACUUUGCUUUGAAAUAUGUCAGCUAAUAUCUAGAGCAUCAAACAAGCAGUCUGCUUCCACAUCAGAUCAAACAAAGAUGUAGUGAACGGUGCCAAACACACCAGAAACUCUGGUGUGAAACUGGCCCACAGCUGGAAUUUGCUGAAGAACUUCAAAAGUAUGAACGUUUUUUGGUGAAAGGUGAAGAACUGCUGUUCACACAUAAACUGCCUUCAAGAAAAUGAAAGGUGUCAAAGAGAUUCUGACAAGAUUUCCGAUUAUGGAGGAGAUUUUGUUUCCCACCAGCCACAAGAUGCAGAAUUCAAGCCCUCCCCUGAAGUUCUUAAGAAGAAAUAAAACACAAAGAAAGCAAGAACUUAAGGUCUUUUAUUUGACAUAUUCAAAGAAUUUCACAAUAAUUUGAAGAACAAUAGAAAGAAACAUGGACACAGACAACAGUGUGCUGACUGACUGUCAAAGAAAAUGUGGAUCGCGGAGGCAGAAAGUAUGUACAGUGGGGACAAAUAUUUAGGGAGGGAUACUUUCCUUGGAAUGAUAGACACACAAUAACACAUACAGGGGACAGAUUGCAGAGUAGUCUACCUGAAACCUGUAGUAUUAUAUUAACCGACAUCACCUCAUUCAAUCAAUGAAUUCCAUUCAAAAAAUUAAAUACAUACAUUAAUAAACAAAAUUUAAAAAACAAAUAUAUGUUUCUUGAUAAAUUGUAAAUAUAUUGGCAAAGGAAUGAUUUUGAACCUGUGCUCUGAGGCUCACUUGAGUGCCUCUUAAACUUUUGAUUCUUGUUAGCAUACUGAUUCUGGUCUCAAGAGGUAUGAUAAAAAUUUUUGACUAGUAUCGAUUGGCUUUAUUUAAUUUGUUUAUUUCUUUCAUGUGUCUGUAUUUUUGGUCUAGACUGUGUCUUCAGUGUGUUUUCUGCUUUGAAGCCCCUGGUUGACCACUCAUGGCACCUUGCAGAAGAAGGGGCAUACGAGGUUUUAAAGUCAGUCAGGAUUGAUGGAUGGUGAAGCAGAGACUGUUCUGUGAUAUGGCUGAUGCCUGUCCCCCAGGCUAGAUCUUGGCCAAUACAUACAUUGUUCCCAUAAAUUCCCUAGGAGUCUUUCUGCUUUACCUCCCCCUUAUUCUCAAAAGCAUGUUGACUCUUGUAACAGGCUGGCUCCUUGCAAAGAAAUAACAUGAAAAAUUUGUUCUUUUUAUCUGGGUUGGGUCUCAAAGCAAUACCCCUAUCCACACUUCCCUGUUCUACAUAAUUCUUAAGUUUCCGCUAAACUGAUAGAAUUCUGGAGUUGUCAACUUCAUUGUGUGGUCUAUCAAGCCCAGGAAAUUUUACCAACAAUUUGUAUUCAGGACUCUUUGGAUCCCAUCCGAGCUCAUGUUAACAACACAACUCAGAAUGGGAACUGGUCACUUAAAAUAUGAACCAUGUGGUUAAUAGAUUAGGCUUUCAGCAGACCUGACAUCCAGAUAAACAAGUGAAAAUACAGACCAAAUUCAAUACCAUUGCCCAUGUCAGUCACAACUGCCUAUGAAAUUAAACCCAAUGAACAUUCUGGACACUAGUGAUCAGGUGAGCUUUUGGUUGUUAAAACCUUCAAUGUGGCUGAGCAUGGUGUGUCCUGCCUCCUUUAAGAGAAGACAUUGGCUGAUUCACUAGUGGAAUUCUCAAUGACAUAGCUCUAUAUGUCUCUCUUUUUGUUAGUUCCAAAUUGUAUUACAUUGCUGUGAUAUAACUAUAAUCAUAAAUAUGGAAUUUUGUCGAGCUCUAUGAGUCAUUUUGGCAAAAUACUCAACCCACUGGGGUUGUGGAAAGACCUGAAGUAGUUCAUUGGACAAAAGUCUGGGUGGCCUUGGAACUCCACAUGUGUAGCUAGUGUUGAUGUCAGGAGAGUCUUAUGAAGGAAGUUUCUUUUAGCCACUGGGUAUUGUGCUAACUCUGAUGGUGAGCCUCAGAACUCAAGUGCAGGGCACUCUUACAGUGAUAUUGAGAAUCAUAAACUUCAGAAAAGGGGACAUACUGAGAUGCAUCUCCUAUAUUAGUUGGAAACCCUAAACCCAAGUAAGAGCCUCAGGUGUGCUGUUGAGGUCCAACUGGUGAAGAAACUGUGUCACUGAAAUGCACGUGGUGGAUAUCCUCAAGAGAUCAGAACUGAAAACAGGAGGUCCUGUUACAGAACAAAACUUUGUAGUAGCAACAAGGGCGAUAGAAUCUGAGAAUUACAGAGGCCAGCACGUAGCCAUCAAAAGCAUUGUGGGAGUAAUAACCCUAAUAAGCUGCACUAUCAGAGUGCAAGCUAGUGUGCAAAGAUGUAACAGACAGCUCUUAACAUAGUGCCUUUAGAAACAAAAGCUAUGAAAGGUCAAUGAUGGUGUCACUAAUAGACUUAACAGAGAGAUAAAGGAGCAAAGAUCCGGGGGAAUUCCUACAGACGUUCAGAUCAUGAUGGUGGAGCAGGAAAAUACUGUGCUCUCCUCCUCCUACAACCAUAUCACAACAACAAGUAAAUUAUAGAGCAAUAAACCUAAAAGCCAUCUGAAGACUAGUUGACAAAAACUAUAAUAUAACUAUGGAUAUAAAAAAGUAACCAGGACUAGACUGAUAAGACUAAUGAAAACAUAAAACAGGAUGGUCCCAAAGCCAUGUGUGGUGGUUGAGAAUCAGGAAAAAUAUCUUGGCUGCAGAAGUCCUCUAGGGAGUGAAUGAUCCUAGCCCCAUAGAAAGCUCUCCUGCCUAAGGCCCCAGUACAAGGAAUAGGAGUCCCCACAGCAGCUGGCUGUGGAAACUGGUGGGGAUUCUGUCCCAGUGAAGUGCGGGGCUGUUGGAAACACAUGUGUCCUCUCAAAGGACCCACACAUAGACAGUUGCUCACAGACACUCACUCUAAGUUCCAGCAAAGGGACAGCAGCCCAUAAAGAACCAGAGAAAUUAGGAAAAAACCUGAGCUGGG